GAUGAACGCUGGCGGCGUGCCUAAUACAUGCAAGUCGAGCGAACGGACGAGAAGCUUGCUUCUCUGAUGUUAGCGGCGGACGGGUGAGUAACACGUGGAUAACCUACCUAUAAGACUGGGAUAACUUCGGGAAACCGGAGCUAAUACCGGGUAAUAUUUUGAACCGCAUGGUUCAAAAGUGAAAGACGGUCUUGCUGUCACUUAUAGAUGGAUCCGCGCUGCAUUAGCUAGUUGGUAAGGUAACGGCUUACCAAGGCAACGAUGCAUAGCCGACCUGAGAGGGUGAUCGGCCACACUGGAACUGAGACACGGUCCAGACUCCUACGGGAGGCAGCAGUAGGGAAUCUUCCGCAAUGGGCGAAAGCCUGCCGGAGCAACGCCGCGUGAGUGAUGAAGGUCUUCGGAUCGUAAAACUCUGUUAUUAGGGAAGAACAUAUGUGUAAGUAACUGUGCACAUCUUGACGGUACCUAAUCAGAAAGCCACGGCUAACUACGUG
rnacentral:rRNA from 1 species